rnacentral:rRNA from 1 species
CCUCUGCGCUCGUCGGAACCUUGAGGAGGCCUGCCCAUAGUACGAGAGGACCUGGGUGGACGAACCUCUGGUAUGCCAGUCGUCACGCCAGUGGCGCGGCUGGUUGGCUACGUUCGGAAGGGAUAACCGCUGAAAGCAUCUAAGCGGGAAGCCUGCUCCAAGAUAAGGGUUCCAUGGAUCCUCGGAUCCUGUAGUCCCCAUGCAGAACACGUGGUUGAUAGGCCGGACGUGGAAGCCCCGCGAGGGGUGGAGCUGACCGGUACUAACGGACGAGGGGC